UGCCGCCGCUGGAGCUGGCGAGGCCUCGGUCACCGUCGUCUCCGACUCGGGAACGUUACCUGAAGGGCGACACAGAGAGAGGGAGAGAGACCCGCAUUCUCUCCCUUCCCCCUUACUGCUGGAAGAAUUGCAAUUUAUUUCAAAAACAUUUGCAAAGCGACAAAGGCUUCAUUCAGAAGGUCAAGUGGCACCAACACAGGACCUGGAAAGGAAUCUAAGAUCGCUCAGCAAAUUUCCAGAAAUUCAAAAACGCAUUGACCCAGGUUGGAAUACUGCAACAGCAGAUGAUGGAAUUUGAACAAAAAAUCU